GCUUGUCUCAAAGAUUAAGCCAUGCAUGUGUAAGUAUCAGAAGUCUGAACUUCAAAACUGCGAAUGGCUCAUUAUAUCAGUUAUAGUUUAUUUGAUAGUCCCUUACUACUUGGAUAACCGUAGUAAUUCUAGAGCUAAUACAUGCAUCAACUCCCAACUGCUUCGCGGAAGGGAUGUAUUUAUUAGAUUGAAACCAAUGCACUUCGGUGGUAUUGUGGUGAAUCAUGAUAACUUUGCGGAUCGUAUGGCUUCACGCCGACGAUGAAUCAUUCAAGUUUCUGCCCUAUCAGCUUUGGAUGGUAGGGUAUUGGCCUACCAUGGCUUUGACGGGUAACGGAGAAUUGGGGUUCGGUUCCGGAGAGGGAGCCUGAGAGAUGGCUACCACAUCCAAGGAAGGCAGCAGG
rnacentral:rRNA from 1 species